CACGCCGUAAACGAUGAGCACUAAGUGUCGGAUAUAAAUUCGGCGCUGUAGUUAACACAUUAAGUGCUCCGCCUGGGGAGUACGGUCGCAAGACUGAAACUCAAAGGAAUUGACGGGGACUCGCACAAGCGGUGGAGCAUGCGGUUUAAUUCGAGGCAACGCGAAGAACCUUACCAGGUCUUGACAUCCCGCUGACCGGUCUAGAAAUAGGCCUUUCCUUCGGGACGGCGGUGACAGGUGG
rnacentral:rRNA from 1 species